GAACGAUAGUUUAAUUAGACGAUCCGAUCAGAUGACAUUCCUCUCAAAAACCGAACCAAACCGCACCACGAACACCCCUACUCUUGGGUCCGAGAUUCACGGCGCAGCAAAGGCUGCAACCACCCUCCACCGCGUCGUACUUACGAAGACGCCACCAAAUCAAACCAAAUUGCACUCUAAUUCAAAUACGCUUCUAUUCUCUCUCUCGCCCCCCCAAACCCAAGUUUCCCCAUUUGUUUCCAAGUUGCACUUCAAAUUCAUCACGCUUUUUCCAUUCAUCUCAAAUUCUCUCCAAUUUCAAACCCUAACCCUAGCCUCUCCGCAGAUGAACCCCUACGAUAACAGAUACUCUGACGCCGCUUCUUAUCGCAAUCGUCGCAGCGAUAUCCUCGGUUCUGGACCAUUCAUGCCGCCUCCUGUUGUAGGUCGUGGUGCUUCGGUCCCCUACGGUGCCCCUCCGGUCCCUUAUGGUGCAGGAAGAGGAGCUCCGAAUGCCUUCGGGUCCUCGUCGGUAACUUCCUUUACGCCCCCUCCUGGUGGUUUCAAUAUAGGCCGAGGCGGUGGUGGACUUGGUAAUGGCCAUGCUGGUGGCAGAAAAGACGGCGGAGGUCGUUACGGUGCUGGUGGAAGAGGUCGCGGAGGUUCUGGUAGAGACGGCGGAACUGGUAGAGGCGGUGGAAGCGGUUUUAGGGGAGGCAGAAGUCAUGGUGGUGGAAGAGGAGGAGGAGGUGGUAGACAUGGUGGACGGUCAUCGAAGGAUGAAUUGAACAAGAUUUCCUUGCCAAAGCAGGAUUUUAAGAAUUUGGUCCCUUUUGAGAAGAAUUUCUACGUUGAGUCCCCUGCAGUGAGGGCCAUGUCCGAUCAAGAAGUGAUGCAUUAUCGUGCCAGUAGAGAAAUAACAGUGCAAGGCCAUGAUGUGCCGAAACCCAUUCGGAUGUUCCAUGAGGCCAGGUUUCCUGAUUACUGCCUUGAGGUGAUUGAAAACCUGGGAUUUGUUGAGCCGACUCCAAUCCAGGCCCAGGGUUGGCCGAUGGCUCUUAAAGGCAGAGAUUUGAUUGGCAUUGCGGAGACUGGCUCCGGCAAAACUUUGUCAUAUCUGCUUCCUGCUUUGGUGCAUGUCAGUGCACAACCUGGACUGUCACAUGGGGAUGGUCCCAUUGUCUUAGUUUUAGCACCAACUAGAGAGUUAGCUGUUCAAAUUCAAGAAGAAGCUCAGAAAUUCGCAGGGCGGGCAAAUAUUAGAAGUACAUGCAUCUAUGGUGGUGCACCAAAGGGACCGCAAAUUCGUGACCUUCAAAGGGGUGUAGAGAUUGUUAUUGCUACACCAGGUCGCCUUAUAGAUAUGCUGGAAGCUCAGCACACAAACUUGCAGAGAGUUACUUACCUUGUCUUGGAUGAAGCUGAUAGGAUGUUGGACAUGGGUUUUGAACCUCAGAUAAGGAAAAUUGUAGGCCAGAUUCGACCAGAUAGACAGACGUUAUAUUGGAGUGCUACAUGGCCAAAGGAGGUUGAAGCUCUGGCAAGGCAGUUCCUGCGCAACGCAUAUAAGGUAAUUAUUGGGUCACCAGAACUGAAAGCAAACCAAUCUAUAAAUCAAGUUGUUGAAGUUGUGACAGAUGCAGAGAAAUAUAACAGAUUGAUUAGAUUGCUGAAAGAAGUGAUGGAUGGGAGCCGAAUUCUAAUAUUUAUGGAGACAAAAAAGGGAUGUGAUCAAAUUACAAGACAAUUGAGGAUGGAUGGAUGGCCAGCUCUAUCCAUCCAUGGUGAUAAAAACCAAGCUGAAAGAGACUGGGUUUUGGCUGAGUUUAAGAAUGGUAGAAGUCCAAUAAUGACUGCCACUGAUGUUGCUGCACGGGGUCUUGGUAGGAUCACUGUGUAUUAAGAAUCAUAGGAAUUUUGGAAUAGGUCUAAAACUUUAACCAUAGGUGAGUCGGCCGGCUGCUGUCCAGUUCUUGAUAUAAUUUGUGGUUUGGGUUCAUGGGGGAGCCAUAUUGUCACUUUGUCAGGGUGUUGGGACCGCCUGUAACUUGACCAGGGGAUCAAUGAGUUGCAUUCAGUGGUGAAAUUAUUUUACUGCAUUAUGGAGCUGGUUACUCUCUGCAGCCUGGUUGACUAAUGCAUACUUAGUAGAUAAUUGGAUGUGGUAGACGGCAGUGAUGGUGAGGCUGCUCCUUAUCCCUGAAAGGUUAAGAUGUGAAAGACAUAAAAUGUGUGGUCAAUUUUGAUUUUCCUUCAAGCCUGGAAGAUUAUGUACACAGAAUUGGUCGAACUGGUCGUGCAGGGGCUAAAGGGACUGCGUACACCUUCUUCACGCAUGCUAAUGCUAAGUAUGCGAGGGCUCUGAUAAAGAUUUUACAAGAUGCAGGUCAGGUUGUGAGCCCUGCACUAUCUGCAUUGGCUCGGUCAGCUGGUUCUGCUCUAUUAGGAUCCAGAGGAAGCUUUCGAUCAAGAGGACGUGGAGGCUUUGGUGGCAACAGAGGUGGAAGAUCAGGAUCCAAUACCAUUCCUCUAGGUUCAAAGAGGCCUUGGCAUGGUAUGUAGUUGAUAUUGCCUUGAGCAAUUUGUACCACUACUAUUUAUUAGAGAAUCGUCAUCAAACAUUUUUUUGGGGGAUUUGUGCAAUAGGUAUUUCCCCGCAUGACAUUUGAAACAACAAAUUGAUUGCUAGUUUUAGGAAGAGAAACAAUUAAUCUUAGAAUGACUGUAGUCAAGAAGGUAUUUGGUGUAAAUAAUUAGUACGUGGCGGACCAUGGCCUAAUGCGUUGUUUGGAAUAUUUGGUUAGCGUUGGUUGUACUAAAUUAGCAGUUCAGAUUGCCAUAAUAGUUAUGCAAAGUAAUUGAAACAUUUGAGAUUAUUAUUUUUCAA